CGCUGGCGGCGUGCCUAAUACAUGCAAGUCGAACGCACUCUCGUUUAGAUUGAAGGAGCUUGCUCCUGAUCGAUAAACAUUUGAGUGAGUGGCGGACGGGUGAGUAACACGUGGGUAACCUGCCUAAAGUGGGGAUAACAUUUGGAAACAGAUGCUAAUACCGCAUAAAACCUAACACCGCAUGGUGUAGGGUUGAAAGAUGGUUUCGGCUAUCACUUUAGGAUGGACCCGCGGUGCAUUAGUUAGUUGGUGAGGUAAAGGCUCACCAAGACCGUGAUGCAUAGCCGACCUGAGAGGGUAAUCGGCCACACUGGGACUGAGACACGGCCCAGACUCCUACGGGAGGCAGCAGUAGGGAAUCUUCCACAAUGGACGAAAGUCUGAUGGAGCAACGCCGCGUGAGUGAAGAAGGUUUUCGGAUCGUAAAACUCUGUUGUUGGAGAAGAAUGUAUCUGAUAGUAACUGAUCAGGUAGUGACGGUAUCCAACCAGAAAGCCACGGCUAACUACGUG
rnacentral:rRNA from 1 species